rnacentral:rRNA from 1 species
UACAGAGGUCUCAAGCGUUGUUCGGAUUCAUUGGGCGUAAAGGGUGCGUAGGUGGCGCCGUAAGUCAGGUGUGAAAUCUCGGGGCUCAACCCCGAAACUGCACUUGAUACUGCGGUGCUCGAGUACUGGAGAGGAGAUUGGAAUUUACGGUGUAGCAGUGAAAUGCGUAGAUAUCGUAAGGAAGACCAGUGGCGAAGGCGAAUCUCUGGACAGUUACUGACACUGAGGCAACGAAGGCCAGGGGAGCAAACGGG